AUUCUUGAAGGUCAUGCACAGGACAAACCGUUUUAGUUCUAAUUUUGACACUUUAAAAGAAAAUGAUAGAAAUACUUCUAUGCUCCAGAACUGGUCACCUGGUCAAUGUAUUCUAAUUUUGCUUACACAAAGCAACCAACUAUAAGUAUAAUUUGCAUCUUGAUUGACUGAACUUUGAAAGAAACUGGAUAUAAUACCCAGAGUGCUCUCAUUGAAAUUAAAAACGCUUCCGAAUUCUGAAUGGAAGCUGAAAAUGGAGUUGAUCAUGUUGUGUAUUGUUGACAAGUUUGUUUGUUAUCAGCAUAAAGUUAGAAAAUAUAUGAUACUGUAUCAUUGGAUCUUCAAGUAUCAGGACGUAUCCAAGGGGAGGAGGGCGAUAAGGGUACUUAUAACCUAGCAAACAGACAGACGAGUGGAAAAAUAUUAGAGUUCGACCCUACAUUUUUACCAGAUACAUGAUUUAUGACGCUUUCAUGUAAUUUAGGAAGAAGUGUGAUAAUAAAAGCAUAUCAGAGAAA